UAAGGAAUAUUGGUCAAUGGACGCAAGUCUGAACCAGCCAUGCCGCGUGAAGGAUGAAGGUCCUCUGGAUUGUAAACUUCUUUUAUCUGGGACGAAAACGGGAUUUUUAUCUCAAUUGACGGUACCAGAGGAAUAAGCACCGGCUAACUACGUGCCAGCAGCCGCGGUAAUACGUAGGGUGCGAGCGUUAAUCGGAAUUACUGGGCGUAAAGCGUGCGCAGGCGGUUUUGUAAGACAGAGGUGAAAUCCCCGGGCUCAACCUGGGAACUGCCUUUGUGACUGCAAGGCUGGAGUGCGGCAGAGGGGGAUGGAAUUCCGCGUGUAGCAGUGAAAUGCGUAGAUAUGCGGAGGAACACCGAUGGCGAAGGCAAUCCCCUGGGCCUGCACUGACGCUCAUGCACGAAAGCGUGGGGAGCAAAC
rnacentral:rRNA from 1 species